AUUUUAAAUUCUUGAGGUUUUGUGCUGCGAUUUAGAUUGGCGACUAGGUUUUCUGUAAUCGAUUGGAUUACUUUCUCUGUGUGGUGCGAUUUCUCUGUACUUUUCCCAAUCUGGUAUGACGGCGAGGAUAGAUGGGUUUAUGAUCAGUCCACUGUGAAGUUUCUUUUGUUGUGAUUCUUCUUCGAUAUUGAUUAUUUGGUUAUUUUAAACGAUCGAAGCUCUAAGACUAUUAUGGUUCAAGUUUUGGCGGUCUUUCGUAUCAUGAUUGGUUAUGGGGACUCACUUUCGUUUGUUUAUGUUGGUGCAAUCGAUUGUUAGUUCGUGAUGUUUCGAUUGAGAAUGUUAACUUUGCCUCUCUGUCUAUGUGAAAUUCUAUCCAUUUGUUCUCCGAGUUUGAUAGUUAUCGGCAGUUGCGGGAAGAUUAAUUUACUCAUUGUUUCUUCUUCUCUGGCCAUGAAUGGAUAUCUUGAUGUUCUGUAUUCGCGCUACGCCGGUGAGCAGCCUCAGUAUCAUACUUCAAUUAAUUUCUAUGCAAUUGAGGUAUAUCGUGAUUUCCGCUCAUCAGUCUUAUGGCAAAAGUAGCUGAUUCCCUAACUUGGUGUAGGACGUUUUCUCCCAGUGUCUCCAUAAAUAAAUUGAAAUAGGCUGUUUGGUAUAUGGAGUCAUCUCUGGCAAUGAUAGUGUAUAUGGAGGGUGGUGAGGGAGUAUAGUGUGGUAUUAUUUAAAUUUUUUUAUCUUCUACAUAGACAUUCCCCGGUGCCUAUCGUUAUACUCUUCAAUUUCCAGUGUCUUACCAGUGGCUGGUUCUUAAUCAACCUUCAGUGGAAGCCACUCCUGGUUUGGUGCUUGGUUAUUUUUACUCCAUUUCAUCAGUUUCUUUUUUGUCACCUGUAUAUUGAGCUUGGCCUCAACAUGUGACAAGAGAUGCAAAAUAAAUUUUAGUUCUGUUGAAGGUGGAGCUUAAGGGGGGUCUGGCUGUGUUGGACUUGGACAUGGACCAAUAUUUGAUGCUGGCGUAGAAUGAGUUUAUGAAGAAUGGCAGAGGGAGUAUAGUAUUUUUCUUCUGUGACAUCGCCUUUGGUUAUUGUUAUGCUCUUUAUUUUCCUGAUUUCAGAUAUUUUGGUUCUUCAGUUUCCAAGAGAAGGCUGUUCUGGGCUUUUACAGUUUGACAGAGGGAGUAUAGUAUAGUGUAGUAUAGUAUUUUUCUCACUACCUGUUACCAUCUACAUAGACUUUCCCGUCCUUAUUGUUUUUCUCUUUGAUAUCCAGCCUCUGACUUUUGGGUGGGUUCUUCAUCACUGGAAGACAGCUCUUGUUUGAUGCUUGGUUAACUGCUCUUUUUAAUCUGUUUUUUGUUUAAUGUUUAGUCAAAUUUUCUGGUUUGAUGCCUGGUUAACUUUUUUAUGCUAAAUGGUUGUUUAUUUACCUUAUGUGAAUAUUGUUUUCAGCCUUUGUUGCCGGUUGUUGACGCGGACCAAUCUCUGAUACUUGCGUUUAUGGUGUUUAUGAAGGCUGGCCUUUCUCCUGCCAUUUAUCUUCUAGCUGUGCUUUCCCUUAUCUUAUUAUUAUGCUCUUUCAGAGAUACCUGAUGUUGGGUUGCUCUACCAGUUUUCAGGGGAAGGCUGUUCUUUGUUUUUACGCGGGAGUAUAGUAUAGUGUUUUUUUUCUAACAACUUUUAUCUUCUACCUAGACUUCCUGCCUAAAAUUUCCUGUGUUUAUCGUUUACUCUUCAGUUUCCAGUAUCUGAGGGUUGGGUAGCUCUUAAUCAGUUUUCAUCGAAAGGCAGUUCUUGAUGAUGCUCAAGUAUCUUUACUUUCUUUUAUAAGUUUUUUACUUUUUUUACAUAGAUGUGUAUAAUGUUUCUGGCCUCACCCAGUGACACACAGGACAUUUUAUUUCCAUACACAUAUCUGAUGCUGGCAAAGAUGGGGCUGGCAUUGGGAGUACAGUUUUUCUGUGACGUUUUAUCUUCUAGCUGACUUCUCUUCAAUUUCCAGAUGUAUGUUAUACAUGUGGUUCUAUCAUAAUAAAGGGAAGGUGAUUCUCAGGUUUUAUUAUGUGGCAGUGGAAGGAAAGUAUAGUAUCUUCUUCUGCUACAUUCUAUCCUCUUCCUAGAUACAUACCUGUGCUUAUUGUUGUUCUCUUCAGUUUUCAGUGUCUAUUUGGGUGGUUCUUAAUCAACCUUCACUGGAAGCUGGUUCGUACUUGGUUAUCUUUGCUCCGUUUCAAUAGUUUUUUUGUUAUGUAGAUUGUGGAUGUUUCUUCUUCUUCUUCUUCUUCUUCAUCCUUUGAUAGGGAUAUACGAUAAGUUUUGAUUCUGUUAAGACUUGGAGCUUAAGGUUAAGCUAUGUGGGUCUGGUUGUUGGAUAUGGACAAAAAGUGUUGAUGACAUUGUAGUGUUCAUACGGCUUGGCAGAGGGAGUAUCGUAUUUUUUAUUAUCAUUGAUCUUCUAGCUGGACUUUCCCAUUGCUUACCGGUAUGCUCCUUAAUUUCCAGAUGUCUGCUCUUCGGGUUGUUCGAUCAGUUUUCAAGUGUGUUACCGUUGGCUGGUUCGUAAUCAACCUUCCGCGGAAGCCAGUUCUGGGUUGGUGCUUGGUUACUUUUACUCCACUUCAUUUGUUACAUUUUGUUACAUGGAUAUCUGGUUUGGCCUAAACAUGUGACAGGAGAUACAAAUAAAUUUAGUUCUGUUGAAGGUGGAGCUUAAGGAGGGCUAUCUUGGUCUGGCUGUUAAACAUGGACCAAUAUUUGAUGCUGGCGUUGACCGAGCUUAUGAAGGGUGACAGAAGGAGUAUAUAAUAUUUUAUACUUUCGUUUAUCUUCUCCCUGGACAUUUCCUUAGUUUAUUGUUAUGCUCUUCAGUUUCCUGAUGUCAGAUAUUUGGGUACUUCAGUUUCCAAGAGAAGGCAGUUCUGGGCUUUUACAUUGUGACAUGGAGUAUAGUAUAGUGUUAUUUCACUACCUCGUAUUUCUACCUGGACCUCCCUGCCCUUAUUGUUGCUCUCUUUGAUAUCCAGUCUCUGACCGUUGGGCGGAUUCUUCAUCAGGCUUCACUGGAAGGCAGCUCUAGUUUAACUUUGAUGCUUGGUUAACUGUUCCCUCUAAUCUGUUCGUUUGAACUUUGAUGCUUGGUUAACUUUUCCCUUUAAUCUGUUUGUUUAUUUACCUAUAUGUGUAUAUCUAUUUCAGCCAUUGUACUGGGUCGUUGAAGUGGACCAAUCUCUGAUGCUUGCAUUUAUGGUGUUUAUGAAGGGUGACAUUUCUCCUGUCAUUUAUCUUCUAGCUGAGCUUUCUCUUUUCUUACUAUUAUAGUCUUCAAUUUCCAGACGUCUGAUCUUUGGGUCGUUCUAUCAGUUUCUAGGGGAAGGCCGUUCUUUUUUAUACUGUUUGGCAGAGGGAGUAUAGUAUAGUAUUAUUUUCUACUAAUUUUUUUUUUCCUAUAUAGACCGUCUUCGCGUUUUUCUUUACUCUUCAAUUUCCAUUAUCUGAGCGUUGGGUGGUUCUUAAUCAGCCUUCAGCAGUUUACGUCGGAAGGCAAGUCUUGGUUGAUGCUUGAGUAUCUUUACUCUGUUUUUUGUUUGCUUAUUUUUAUGCUCUUCAAUUUACAGAUGUCAAAUAUUUGGGUUCUGUCUUCAAGAGAAGGCAGUUAUGGACUUUUACAGUGGCAGAGGGAGUAUAGUAUGAUAUCUUUUAUAUUUUAUCUUCUACGUAGACAUUCCCUGUGAUUAUCGUUGUACUCUUGAAUUUCUAGUGUCUGAUCGUUGGAUGCCCUUACGCUGUUUUGUCAAGUUUUUUUACUUGCUGUUUCAUCAUUUUUUGUUUGUUACAUAGAUAUGGGUAUUGUUUAACACCUCAACCUGGUACAGGUGAUAUAAGAACAAGCUAUUGGUUUAUCUAAGUUGGAUCUUAUGGUGUGGCUAUCUGGUCAUGUUGUUACCUGUUGGACAUUGAUGUAGUGUUUAUGGAGGGUUGCAUAGGGAGUAUAGUAUUUUCUGUUCACCACUUAUCUUCCACCUAAAUUUUCAUCUUAUCAUUAUCCUCUUCAAUUUCUAGAUAUCUUUUGUUGUCCCUGAUCAGUUUCCAUCAGAAGGCAGUCUGGUUUGGUGGCUAGGUUGCUCUGAUUUUUCAACUUCUCUUUGUUAUUUAAUAUGGAAAUUGUUUCUCUCUCGCCGUGUGACAGGAUUACGAAUAAUUAAUGGUUCUAUCCAAGUUGGACCUUAUGGUGCGGCUAUCUUUAUCCUGUUUUUGGACAAAACAUGAACUCUUAGACGCCGGCAUUGAUGUAGUGUUUAUUGUGGGUAGUAGUGGGAGUAUAUUGUUUUUUCUGCACCAGUAAUCUUCCACUUAGAAUUGCCUCUGGCUUAUCUUAAGUUUUUCAAUUUCCAGGGAUCUUUGGGUGGUUCUUGAUCAGUGACCAUCAGAAGGCAGUUCUGGUUUGAUGCUUGGCUCCCUUUGCUCUGUUUUUCAACUUCUAUUUUUUUAUGUAGAAUUGUAGAUAUGGAUAUUGUUUUUCAACUCGCCCUGUGGCAGGAUAAAUUAAGAAUAAGUUACGGUUCUAUCCAAGUUGGUUCUUCUGGUAUGGCUGUCUUUGUCCCUUUGUUUGACAAAGAUUACUCUUUGAUACUGGCUUUGAUAUAAUGUUUAUGGCGGGUAGUAGAGGGAUUAUAUCAUUCUUUUACACCAAUUUUCUUCCAUGUAGAACUUCCUCUUGCUUAUUGUUAUGCUCUUCAAUUUCCAGAGAUCUUUGGGUGGCUCUCAAUCAGUUUCCAUCAGAAGGAAGUUUUGUUUUCAUGCUUGGUGUCCUGUGGUCUGUUUCAUCCACUUCACUUUAUUACGUAGAUGUGAUUUCUUCUUUCCUCACCCUGUGAUAUGACAGGCUGUCAGUGGUACACAAUAGUUUUUCUAAUUCAUUUAUUCUUCUAUCUAGACUUUUUUGCUGCUUAUUGUAUGAUUUACAAUUUCCAGAUCUUAUCUUUUGAUGGGUCUUAAUUGAUUUCCAUUGGAAGGCCGCUCUGAUUUUAUAAUUAGUUUCCUCUGUUCCGUAUCAUCAGCUUUUAUUUUUUAUGUUGUGGUGUGGAUAUUUUUUUCUGCCUCACCCUGUGACAGAUGAUAUAAAGAACAGAAACGAAUCAAAAGUGAGAAGAUUAUGGACUGAGCAGUUCAGAAGGGAUAAGAUAAGUCACCUUAUUUCUUCAAAAUGUUUGUGGGCCAAGCCAAAAUGAGAAUUUCUUGAGGAUUAAUCGAGUUCCAUUUCUUUUAAAGAAAAAAGUAGGACAUUUACCAUUAAACUCUUCAAUUUCCAGUAUCUUAUCAUUGGCUGGUUUUUUUUAUCGAACUUCAGUGGAAGCCUUCUAGUUUGAUGCUUGGUUAUUUUUACUCGCUUUCAUCAGUUUCUUUUUAGUUAAAUGGACAUUUUUUUCGGCCUCCACCUGUGACUGAAUGAUGCAAAAUAAAUUUUGGUUCUGUUAAAGGUGGAGCUUAAGAUGCUUUAUCUUGGUCUGGCUUUUGGGCAUGAGGAUCUUCGAUGCUGGCGUUGACAGUGUUUGUAUGAGGGGGUGGGGGUGGGGGUGGGCAGAGGGAGUAUAGUAAUUUUCUACGUUGUUACCUUCUUGCUGGACAUUCCCUGCUUAUUGUUAUGUAUUUCAAUUUCCAGGUGUCAAAUAUUUGGGUUCCUCAGUUUUCAAGAGAAAGCAGUUCUGGGCUUUUACAUUGGCAGAGGGAGUUUAAUUUGUUAUCUUUUAGAUUUUAUCUUCUUCGUAGACAUUCUUGUUCUUAUCGUUAUAGUACUUCUCAUUUUCUAGUGUCUGAGCAAUGGCUGGUUCUCAAUCAACCUUCAGUGGAAGCCAGUUCCAGUUUGAUGCUUGGCUGUCUCUACUUUGUUUCAUCAGUUCCAUUUUUUAACAUGGAUAUUGUGUUUGGCCUCACCCUACAAGGGAAGAUACGAUCAUACAAAAUAAAUUUGAUUCUGUUAACUGCGGAGAUUGAGGUGGCUAUCUUUGUCUGGUUGUUGGACAUGAUAUUAGGAACCAAUCUUUGAUGCUGGCCUUGACUUAUUUCACUUGGAGCUUUAGGAGACAUGAAAAUAAGUUUUGAUUCUGAUAAACUCGGAGCUUAAGAUGGGGCUAUCUUGGGCUACUCUUCAAUUUACAGCCUCCCUCCCAUGGUUAUCAAUAUUGUUCAGUCUCUCUGCCAUUACCAAGAUGAAGAUGAAGAUGAAGAUGAAGGUUAGCAAAAGGAGUGUUGUAGAAAGAAGGUUGUUGUGAACCAUGUUAGCCCUCGGCUGUGUGCCAUCAUUAUUGACACCAAUCGCCUUUGCCCACUCCAGCCUCGAUUCAGCAAGGCCGCAACAUCAUGAAUAUUCAAGGCUCAAUCCUUGAGGCAUGGACAGCAUGACCGAAUCAUACUCUCUUCCCAAAUCAGUGCAAGAUUUGAUCUUCUUCUGGAACUCUGCAUCCAGCUGACCCAAGCAAGUCGCAUGACCGGAUCAUGCAGUCAGUCAUACUCUGUUCCUGAACCAGUACAAGAUUUGAUCUUCUUGAACUCUGCAUCCAGCUUACCCAAGCAAGUUCCAACACAUUUUUAUUUGAUCUUAGAUAAAAGCUUAUUUUUGCUUAUCCCAUACUAUAUUUUAAUUCUAUCUUAUCUAAUAUUUUUCACACUA